AGAGUUUGAUCAUGGCUCAGAAUCAACGCUGGCGGCGUGCCUCAGACAUGCAAGUCGAACGAUUAAAGCUCCCUUCGGGGAGUGCAUAAAGUGGCGCACGGGUGAGUAACACGUAAGUAAUCUACCCUCGAGUGGGGAAUAACGUCCGGAAACGGACGCUAAUACCGCAUAAUGCAGCGGCACCGCAAGGUGACAGUUGUUAAAGGAGAAAUUCGCUUGAGGAGGAGCUUGCGGCAGAUUAGCUUGUUGGUAAGGUAACGGCUUACCAAGGCUACGAUCUGUAACCGGUCUAAGAGGACGGUCGGUCACACUGACACUGAAUAACGGGUCAGACUCCACGGGAGGCAGCAAAUCGGGAAUUUUGGGCAAUGGGCGAAAAGCCUGACCCAGCCAACGCCGCGUGAAGGAUGAAGUUAUUUGGGUAU
rnacentral:rRNA from 1 species